UACGUAGGUGGCGAGCGUUGUCCGGAAUUACUGGGUGUAAAGGGCGUGUAGGCGGGAAUGUAAGUCAGAUGUGAAAUCCCAGGGCCCAACCCUGGAGCUGCAUCUGAAACUAUGUUUCUUGAGUGUCGGAGAGGAAAGCGGAAUUCCUAGUGUAGCGGUGAAAUGCGUAGAUAUUAGGAGGAACACCAGUGGCGAAGGCGGCUUUCUGGACGAUAACUGACGCUGAGGCGCGAAAGCGUGGGGAGCAAACAGG
rnacentral:rRNA from 1 species